rnacentral:rRNA from 1 species
GGUUCGAUUCUGGCUCAGAUUGAACGCUGGCAGGAUGCUUUACAUAUGCAAGUCGAACGGCAGCACGGACGGCUUCAGUCUGGUGGCGAGUGGCGGGCGGUGAGUAAUGUAUCGGAACGUGCCUAGUAGCGGGGGAUAACUACGCGAAAGCGUAGCCCCUAACCUGCAUACGCCCUUCGGGGGAAAGCGGGGGACCUUCGGGCCUCGCACUAUUAAGAGCGGCCGAUAUCGGAUUAGCUAGUUGGUGGGGUAACGGCUCACCAAGGCGACGAUCAGCUGGUUUGAAGGACGACCAGCCACACUGGGACUGAGACACGGCCCAGACUCCUACGGGAGGCAGCAGUGGGGAAUUUUGGACAAUGGGGAAACCUGAUCCAGCCAUCCCGCGUGUGCGAUGAAGGCCUUCAGGUUGUAAACACUUUUGGCGGGAGAAAACGGCACGGAUAAUACCCCGUGCAACUGACAAACACCUGCAGAAUAAGCACGGCUAACUACGUGCCAGCAGCCGCGGUAAUACGUAGGGUGCAAGCGUUAAUCAGGAUUACUGGGCGUAAAGCGUGCGCAGGCGGUUCGGAAGAAAGAUGUGAAAAUCCCAGAGCUUAACUUUGGAAUUCAUUUUUAACUACUAUGACAAGUGUCAGGGAGGUGGGUGUCGCGUGUGUAGCAGUGAAUGCGUAGAUAUGCGGAGGAACACUGAUGGCGAAGGCAGCCUCCUGGGAUAACACUGACGCUCAUGCGAAAACGUGAGGCAAACAGGAUUAGAUACCCUGGUAGUCCGCCUAAACGAUGUCAACUAGCUGUUGGGGCCUUCGGGCCUUGUUGGCGCAAUACGCGUGAAGUUGGCUGCCUGGGAGUACGGUCUUAAAUUGAAACUCAAGGAAUUGACGGGGACCCGCACAAGCGGUGGAUGAUGUGGAUUAAUUCGAUGCAACGCGAAAAACCUUACCUACCCUUGACAUAUGUCUGGAAUCCAAAGAAUUUGCAGGUGUCGUACGAGAACCGGAACACAGGUGCUGCAUGGCUGUCGUCAGCUCGUGUCGUGAGAUGUUGGGUUAAGUCCCGCAACGAAAGCAACCUUGUCGUGUAGUUGCUACGAAAGGGCACUCUAAUGAGACUGCCGGUGACAAACCGGAGGAAGGUGGGGAUGACGUCAAGUCCUCAUGGCCCUUAUGGGUAAGACUUGUCAUACAAUGGUCAGGACAGAUGGUCGCCAACUCCGAAGAGGCCAAUCCCAGAAACCCGGUGAUCAUGUCCGAGAUCCGCAGUCUGCAACUCGGCUGCGUGAGCGAAGUCGAAAUCGCUAAUGACACUCGCGGAUCAGCAUGUCGCGGUGAAUACGUUCCCGGGUCUUGUACACACCGCCCGUCACACCAGCGGAGUGGGUUUUACCAGAAGUAGUUAGCCUAACCAUCAGGAGGGCGAUUACCACGGUAGGAUUCAUGACUGGGGUGAAGUCGUAACAAGGUAA